AGCAGCCGCGGUAAUUCCAGCUCCAAUAGCGUAUAUUAAAGUUGUUGCAGUUAAAAAGCUCGUAGUUGAAUUUCGGGAUCAAUACGUCGGUCGUGCUUUCGGGUACGUACUGGCGUCAUUGGUUUCUCCUUUCUGACGAACCAUGAUGUCAUUAAUUUGGUGUUAUGGGGAGUUAGGACUGUUACUUUGAAAAAUUAGAGUGUUUAAAGCAGGCAUUAGCUUGAAUACAUUAGCAUGGAAUAAUGAAAUAGGACGUUCGAUCCUAUUUUGUUGGUUUCUAGGAUCAACGUAAUGAUUAAUAGGGAUAGUUGGGGGCAUUAGUAUUCAAUUGUCAGAGGUGAAAUUCUUGGAUUUAUUGAAGACUAACUACUGCGAAAGCAUUUGCCAAGGAUGUUUUCAUUAAUCAAGAACGAAAGUUAGGGGAUCGAAGACGAUCAGAUACCGUCGUAGUCUUAACCAUAAACUAUGUCGACUAGGGAUCGGAUGAUGUUAAUUUUUAAUGACUCAUUCGGCGCCUUAA
rnacentral:rRNA from 1 species